AUAUCAAUACGGAAUCAAUUGCGAUCCUACAUGCGUUUGCUUCUCAACCGUCCAAGAGUGACAACGUUCCCGCGAAUUUGCGUUCUGCUUGAACAUAUGUAUAUGACGAGACGAGGAACAGCAAUAUCUAACUUCAAAUAAAAGAUUGUAAAAGAUGCAUCUGCAUUUAGAAAGAUUUUUGAAAUAUUACAUCGGAGGAAUGCAACUGCUACAAAUUGGAUCAUCACAUAAAAAUAAAUCUCAGAACAUGGUUGUUUGUCUUUAUUACCAUCAACAUAUUAAUACAUGAAACAAUAGCAGCUCCUCAACCAUAACCUAAACCAGAUUUUUGCUAUGUCUGUAUUUAGUAUUAACAACUAGCAUCAAAAUUAUACGUUGGUAAUGCUUAAGUUAGUUUCUUCAACAAAAAGGAUUAAUAUUUUUAAGUCAACGAAAAAAGCAUCUCAGGCGAUUACACACAAGUAUAAGAUGCCGCAAAUAUGAACCGCUGAUUACGUUCACUGACAGUCUUUGCGUAUACAUAAAUUUUGAGAGUGCCGAGAAAAAGUAUCAGGCGUUUAUCGAGUUUUAAAUAUUGCCAGUGCGGUGAGUGAUUAAUUAUCGAUGGAAAAUUAAAGUUUAUGAUAAAAGAUAGAAUGGAUUAAUCGACGGAAAAAAGCAACAGGAUAACGAUCGAUUUUCCGCAGGGCAUACAAUGAUAUUAGAAACAUUCAUGCAGAAAGAAUGUAGCAACACGUUUUUCUUUUGAAAAGAGGAAAAAGAACAAAGGCAUGCUGUGAUCUUUGACCGCAAUGGCUCUGAACAAGUUCGAACAGAAAUGAGGACAUUUAUAUCUCCUUCCGCUGUCCCUGCUCAAAGAAGGACUAAAGAAAAUAUGUAGACGAAGAAAGAAAUGUGUAAGAAUGUAAGUAGAAAAAAACUUUGCGCGUGUAAUCGGUGCUACGAAAUGUAUUCCUCCUGUCGUCAUAUAACAAAAUGCGCGUCGGGAGUGCCGUUUAUAAUAGCGAGCGAUUUUCGUAUUCAGAUACGCACGCGAGCAAUGCGUGUGCCGUGAACGCGUGUGUGAGUGUCUCGAAGGACCGCUGAGAAGAGAAGGAAGCCUAGGAGGCAUUGGGCGAUAGCAGAGCAAUGAUAUGACCAACUUUGUGCGCGUAAUCGGUGCUACAAAAUAU